UUUUGCAAAGAAACAAUUAUCUGUUAAUUAUACAAUACUCUCUCAUACUGAAAGAAAUGUUCAGUUUUGUUGGUCUAGUUUAGUUUCUAGAAAUAAGUCCAAUAUGAGAAAAUAUUGUUAGCAUUUAGAGCUCACAAAGUUAGGUAGUAGGUCUAUCAAAAAAUAGUGAUGUUUACAAUAUCAAAAUGAUUUUUUAAAAGUUUGGGGUACCUAGAACACACUGUUGUUACUAUUUUCCAAUUCAGGGCAUCGAAAUUGCUUUUCAUAGUGACUUUGCCAUCCUAAUUUACAUAGGUAGGUAUAAUAUCAGGGUAGCAAUCCCCAGCAUUUAUAUGCAUUCUAAUACUGAUGAAGAGAAAAUGUUAUCCUUACAUAAAUCAGUUAUAUAACAAUCUGUUCUAUCCCUAGGAUAGUUAAGAGAUUUACAUCAGCCUAUUUCACUGUGGCCAAAUGGAAAACGCAGAGGAUUCUUUACCAGCUGAGCUGCCUGGGAAGCCCACAGAACUGAUUCCCAGUAUCAAAAAGGUUGGGGACCACUGCUGCAAAGGAUCCAUUCAGAAAUAAGGUGAGACUGACAGGUUUAAGGAACUAUUCUUUAACUUGAGUGAAAAAACUAGACAAUAGGUUACAAAACAUUAUAAAAUA
rnacentral:lncRNA from 1 species